ACUUAUUUAUUGGCCGCGGCUUGUGGGUUCUUAGUUCCCCAACCAGGGAUUGUACAAGUGCCCCCUGCAGUGAGAGCACAGAGUCCUAACCACUGGACCGGCAGGGAAUUCCUCAGCUACCUUUUUAAAAACUGAAGGUAAGUUGAUUUACAAUGUUGUGUUAGUUUCUGGUGUACAGCAAAGUGAUUCAUAUAUAUAUAUAUAUAUAUAUAUAUUCUUUUCCAUUGUCGUUUAUUAAAGGAUCUGGAAUAUAGUUCCCUGUUCAGCUACCGUUUUAAAUUUACUCAACAAACAUACCAGGCCAUCUGCUAAGCAACGAUGAUGAUCUUCAGAUGAACAAGGUGCUCCAGUAGCACUCAGACCCAUAAGAGUAUCCGGGCCCUGCUAUGGUAUUACACAGGAUAGCGUGACCAAGUCUCGGAGCCAGGGCUGUCUUCAUAGGAAGGGCACAUUCACCAGGCUGAAAUUCUGCAAAGCCAUCAGGUAUGAAAGGGAAAGAAUGUAGGGCCGGAAAGGUAAUUGUGCACAGCAUUGCACGUCUUGCUUCAGGUAACUACAGUGUAUCCUUUAGUACUGGGAGCUAUCAAAAAGCUUUAAAUAGGGCAUAAUCAAGUCACAUUUUAGAAGGAAAGGAUUUGUCCCCCGAAUUAUGGGAAGCAGCCCAGAAGUGGCCUGAAGUGGGAGGAGACUAGAGGCAGCUACAUCAGCUAGAAGAGAGUCGGGGUAAGGGAAAGUGAGGGCCUAAGGAGGAGAGGAAAAAAAUGUUGGUUAUUUUUUAUUAAAAUAGCAUCUUCCAAUGUGUUUCCUGUUACGUUAUACUCCUAGGAAGCCAGAAAAAUCAGAGUAAUUAGGUAACUGUGUCAAAUAUAAAUGUUCCUUCUAAGUUUGUUAACAUUUUGGAUAAUUUCAAAAGUUUUCAAAGCCCUCUCUGAAGGUCACUGGACCUCAGUAUCCUCUACUUAUGAGAAAAAGCUGGAUGCCAGGUUCAUGCUAUGGGAAACCUUGAUACUGAACUGGGCUGGGAAAGGAGCAAAGGGCUUGCCUAGAUGCAGACCUAAAUUCCUGCCUGGAAGUGGCAGCUCUGAAGCAGCUCCAGAAAGAAGCAGGUGUGGCAGGAGGUCAGAGGGAUCCACCCUCUCCCUGCAUCACCUUUCCUUUAAGUGGUUCCUGCGAUGGCCCUUUCCCAACCCUUCACACCAUUGUUAUUGCAUAUUUGCAUAUUCUGUAUUCUCUUAGUACUUACACGGAGAAUCAGUGGUUUCAGGUCUUUGAAUGAUCCUAAAGAGCUGAGACAAAAGCCUUUGGGGAUUAACAAGCCAUGGAAAUCAAGUCUACUUAUGUGAUAGGAAGAUAGAGGCUGUUCAGUGUUUGUUGGAAUUGCUUGGGUAAUGGCUGUAUUAUUUUUCAUAUAUUUAUGCACAGUAACAGUUUUGUUUCUUUGUUCUACAUUUAGAACCUUUUUGUUAAAAAAAAAAUACCUAAGAGGACUAUUCCUAUCAGAGAUUGACUUUAUCACUCCAAAAAGUAAUCAUGUCAAUCUCUUGUUCUAAAGCAAUGCAAGUUAGUUAAGAUUUUCAUUAUUAUUUCAGCAUAUUCUGUCCUUUUCCCCCUGAAUAGUUAUGAGGACAGAAGUAAUGUCUUUCUAACUUUGGUUAUUUUCUCUUGAAAUAUUUGUUUCUUGGAAAGUACAAGGGCAAACUCGGAGCACAUUGUAUGCUUUAAUUCAGUGUUAACUGGUCAGACCAGAAGACAGACAAUGGAAAGUCUGAAUUGGUUUUUAAUUUCCCUUUCUCUGCGAUGUGAAUAUAAUACUUUGCCAGAAAUAAAACUGUCUGAUCAAAUGAAAAUGGGAAAUGAGAGAUAAAUAUGGGAAAAGUCUUUGUUGCACAACAGUCACAUUCCUAGAAAGAAAAAUAAGUAUGCAAAUAGCAGGUCAUGACAAUUCUUAUAGAACAUACUUCCACUUCAGUUCAAACAGCAACAGAAAAGACGGCAAAUUCCCUCUUCAAGAUUUUAAGCCCAGUUUUUCCCCUAGCAUACCAUGGGAUUUUAUUCCUCCGUGCCUUUUGUCUUGCUGUUUGGUCCAUCUGAAAAUCUCACCCUCCUUCUUCUCUGUGUCAGCAUCUUAUGUGUGCUCCAAUACUAGUAUGAUCAUAUAAUUUAUUGUCCAAAGAAAACCUUUGAGAGUGAAAGUGCAGUGCUAAUAAUGAAUAAUUAUGCUUGGAAAACAGUGUAAACUGGGACUAUCCCAAGCAACCUGAGACGUUUGUUUGUUUAGCCUAUUCAAGGAGCGGCACAAAUGCCCUGCCCCUUCCAUGAAGCAUUUCCUGAUGCCACAAAUCAGAAUGACUUUCUCCUUCCUCUGUGCUUGCCUUAAGGAAUUUGCUUAAGUCUAUGACUGCGGUGACCCACAGUUUAGUUAGUUACAUAGUCCUCUGUAUCAUCUGCUAAAAUAAGAGCUCCUGGGGGCAAGAAAUUUUAUUUUGUUCCCCUCUAUAUCCCCAAUUUCUAGCCGUGUGCUUUGCUCUGAGUUCAAUAAAUAUUUGCCGAAUUGAAAUGUUUGAUUACUAAUCAUUGUCUAAAAUACGCUUGAAGAGGAAGAGAAACUCAGGAGUUGGAUGACGACUUGCUGCAGAAUUUCUGAAAUGUUCAGUACGAACUGGUCUUCCAUCCACAUCCUGGCAGUGUCUGGAAGCUUCAGAUUAUGACUGAACCGCAGUAACUGUCCAGCAUUACAAGCUUUACAAGGUGUUGCAGUAAAGGCAUUGAUCGGGAAGGAAUGGAGUCCUGAAAACUGGAAUGGGGCAUACGGCUAGAUCCUGAUGAAGCUGGGGACAGUGAGUCUUCUUCACAGGGUGACACAUGCCAUAUGUGUUCAAUAUGAUUCAGACCCAGAUGAAUAACUCAGAGGAGGCCAGCCGACACCAGGGAGACUUCUAGGUUAAAAAG